rnacentral:rRNA from 1 species
AUACGGAAGGUCCGGGCGUUAUCCGGAUUUAUUGGGUUUAAAGGGAGCGCAGGCGGCACUUCAAGCGUGACGUUAAAUUUCGGGGCUCACCCCCGUUAUGCGUCGCGAACUGUUGUGCUUGAGUAGGCGGCAGGGAGGCGGAAUUCGCGGUGUAGCGGUGAAAUGCUUAGAUAUCGCGAGGAACUCCGAUAGCGCAGGCAGCCUCCCGUUGCUUUACUGACGCUCAUGCUCGAAGGUGCGGGUAUCGAACAGGAUUAGAUACCCUGGUAGUCCGCACUGUAAACGAUGGAUGCCCGCUGUUGGGCCUUUUGGGUUCAGUGGCCAAGAGAAAUCGUUAAGCAUCCCACCUGGGGAGUACGCCGGCAACGGUGAAACUCAAAUGAAUUGACGGGG